rnacentral:rRNA from 1 species
AUACGUAGGGUGCGAGCGUUGUCCGGAAUUACUGGGCGUAAAGAGCUCGUAGGUGGUUUGUCGCGUCGUCUGUGAAAUUCCGGGGCUUAACUCCGGGCGUGCAGGCGAUACGGGCAUAACUUGAGUACUGUAGGGGAGACUGGAAUUCCUGGUGUAGCGGUGAAAUGCGCAGAUAUCAGGAGGAACACCGGUGGCGAAGGCGGGUCUCUGGGCAGUAACGGACGCUGGGGAGCGAAAGCAUGGGUAGCGAACAGGAUUAGAUACCCUGGUAGUCCAUGCCGUAAACGGUGGGCGCUAGGUGUAGGGGUCUUCCACGACUUCUGUGCCGUAGCUAACGCAUUAAGCGCCCCGCCUGGGGAGUACGGCCGCAAGGCUAAAACUCAAAGGAAUUGACGGGG